AAAGCUGGGAUCUCGUAUUCCCAGGGCCUAAAACUCUGCUUAACCAGUAUCCCCAAAUACUUACCAAAUGACUAAAUUGUUUUCACUAUAUGCAAUACAUUUGUGUUCGGUGGGUCUUGGUUUAAGGCUGUAUGUUUAGUGUUGGCACCACAGCGUAUAGCAAGGACAACCCCUGAGAGGUUACCAUCAAAGGGGAAGUAGAACACAUGUUUACAAUAAUCCUAACACAAAACAGAAGGUGGAUGCCAAAAGGAGGCACAACGUGUUCUCAGGGUUCAGAUGGUUAGGCCAGUGGGCAAAGGCUUCCUGGAGGAGCUGUUGCUUCAGAAGAAUGAACAGCAUUUAAAUAAACAUAAAUUUGGUGCAAAGUCAAAGGCAUGGAGGAAAGAAACUGCAGAUGUUUGAGAAAAGGAAGUAAUAGUCUAGUUCGUCUAGACUAGACUUUAGAGUCCUGGUGGGGGCAAUGAAAGAACACAAACGAACUUGAAAAGAGGGUGGGGCCCCUAUGACCUCAUCACCAAGUCUUUGAACCACGGAAUGUUUUGGGGGAUGGGGGGGGCGGCGGGGAGAGUCCACUGAGAACUGUGUCAUAAAUAAAUUAUCCAAUAUUUUGGCUUAGUAGUGGAUUCUACACCCCAAAGUUUCCACUGAGGCACCAGGAGCCACCAUGGAGGACAAUGUCAGCACAGAGCAGGUUUUGUAACAGAAUCAUUUCCCAGACCACCACGGACAGCCCAGUCAUAACAGAAGCCAGUAUAAGGAAAUGCGCAGCCAGCCCAGACCCUGAGGCCUGUGCAUCAAGAUGGCAGGCUGGCCAAGGGUCCUCUGGGGACAGCAGUGCCAGAAGGAGGAUUGGACACGGUGACCCGUCUGCCUGAGAUGAGGGGGGGAAAAAACAACAUCAACCAGGAGCUCUGUAAUACUGAUGAACUAAUCUGUCACUCACAAGCUCGGGUCUGCAAAAAAGAAAACUGCAGUAAACAUUUAAUAACCAUGAGGGGUGAAAAUGCGAGCCUUCAUUUUCAAAUGCUGUUCAAACCUAUGGCUCCGAACCUACUUAACUGGUUAGUUUGUGUUGAUUUGAAAAAUCAUCUGAAGACCACAAUCCACCCUAUAGUUCCAAGGGUUAGGAAGUGUGCCACAGAUAACUAUCAAACAUCCAGAUGAUUUCCAAGAACUGUAUGAAUGAACCAAGUUUCUUGAUCUUGAUAUCCCAGGCAGGGAAUUUGUUCUUAAGUACUAGACUGCUUAAUUGCUUGGGGGAGAGAAAAUCCUGGGGGAAAGACAUUUAUGAGGCAAUAUGUGCUCCAUAGAGUCAGUGCACUCUCUCCAGCUGGAUCAUGGCCAGCAACGCAGAGAAGUCUACUCUUCUCUCCAGUAGAAGCAACUGGAUAUUUGAUCUUAGAGAUGAAUGAAAAACCUAAAGAUCAUAUUUCAUGGGAAUCUUUCAGUAUCCUGAAUGGAAAAUACCACUGAAAAUCGGUUAUUUGCUCCUCCAACCCAAAUCCACUUAGGACCAGAAUUAAGAACGUGG